rnacentral:snoRNA from 1 species
AUGGUCUGGGGAAAGGCUCCUGUGUUGUUGAACCUGCCCAGUUGCGGGUGCAGCCUUGUACCAAGCAGCCCAACCCCGACCUAAAGUAAAUUCUCAGGAGAAGUCUUACCUGGGUUUUGAAUUUGCAGUAACAGGUGUGAGCAUACUAGCAGCAGUGUGACAAUCAUGUAUGAUACUGCAAACAGGA